GGGGAUGUAGUUCAAUUGGUAGAGUGCCUACCUAGCAUGCAUGAAGCCAUGAGUUCAAUUCUCCAUCACCA
rnacentral:tRNA from 1 species